GAAAUGCGAUAAGUAGUGUGAAUUGCAGAAUUCAGUGAAUCAUCGAAUCUUUGAACGCACAUUGCGCCCUUUGGUAUUCCUUAGGACAUGCCUGUUCGAGCGUCAUCUAAACCUUCAAGCCCUGCUUGGUGUUGGGUGCCUGUCCCGCCUCCGCGCGCGGACUCACCUCAAAUCCAUUGGCGGCCCCCGCGUCGGCCACGAGCGCAGCAGAAACGCGAACUCGUGAGCCCGUCCGGGCGGCUCCCAGAAGCUACACCCACCCAGUUUGACCUCGGAUCAGGUAGGGAUACCCGCUGAACUUAAGC
rnacentral:misc_RNA from 1 species